rnacentral:lncRNA from 10 species
GUGACCCUAGCGCGGUGACUUCUGGGAAAUGUAGUCCACCCGGAAUAACCAUGUCCACGGCGCCCGCCAUUCUGUAGCCUAUGCUCGGAGGGCACAUGAGCAAGAGCUUGACCAUCUGUACCGUUGGUUGACUUGCUCUAUUAAGGGCUAUGAUUUCAGGUCGUCCUGCGUGUUUAGAGGAGGCGAGUGGAAUCUUGAGUCUCGGCUGGAGAAGGCAGAGCACGGGCAUGCAGACCUCAAAGCCUCAAACCUGCGUGUGAGAGGAGAAGUUGGCGAGCUCCAGCGUAUGGUCCACGGAAGAUACAAGACAACAGCUUCUGCGAACCAGUAAGAGUGGCCUCAUUAGACAUUGGAUUUGCCAGUGACUUGAUCAUGGACUUCCCAGUCUCCAGGACUGUGAGUUAUAAAGGUUUGUUGUUUAAGCCACCCAGCCUAUGGUAUUGUUUGUUAUAGCAGCACAAAUGGACUAAGGCACUCACGGAGUCUGCAGCUUCACAUGGCUUGAUGAUGGGGAAACAUGGGCUGGAUUCCAGAUUCCACUUGACCCUUCAGCAGAGAGCCUCUGCACAGUGAAAAAUGGAGUUCUUGUAGCUCUCAGGGUCUUUCACCAUAUUUGCUGUCCUUGGGCAAGAUCAGAGUCAUCUUUGGAAGGAAAAGCAUCUCUGGAUUUUGUUAAAUACCAUCUUAGGAAAGUACUCUCUGCUCUUCAAAGUCAGCGACGACAUGAGUCACUGUUACAGAACCCACAGAAUGUGUCCCUUAAAAUACUGAGAAUGAACACUAUUUUACUGCCUGCAUAAUUAGCACUAGACAGGUGAAUUUAUUACUACUUCAUUAAAUAGAUGAGUUUAUUAACUCAGUGAAGACUUGUGGGAACCUUACUAAAAGAGAUGCAAUUCCCCAGCCUCAAGAUGCUCACAGUCUAGUGAUGAGGAAGCUGGCAAUUCCACUAUACAUGGCUAAAUGCCAGAGUAGUGCACAGCAUCCUUUAGCGGCAUGAGGAAUGGGCUCAUAAGCCCACAGUGGAAUGCAGGGGUUCUACACAAACGUAGCUUAAUCUGAGCCCUGGAGGGUGACUGAGCUCUAUUAGCCAGAGAAUCCAAAUCACUAUAAAACUCCCAGAGAACAAAUGUCAUGAUGUGAAGACAAAUAACAGGCAGAAAGAGAUGGGCAGGAAGGCAGAAUUCAAACCAUGAUGACGUUCAAGUCACAAAAUUAUCUGCAAGUCAGCAGGAGAACACUGAAGGACUUCUGGAAAGGAGAGUAAAAAGAUUCCUUUCAUGUUAGAAACAGAUUACCCUCUCAAACGGGAGGAGGCUUGAGGGGGAGGAGGCUAGGGCCAGAGAGACUAUUAGGAGAGCCACACUAAGAAACUCUUUCUUCUUUAUUCAAAUGUCACCACCUCAGAGUCUCUCUCUAGCCAUCCUGUAGAUAAUUUCGGUCUCCUAACUGCACCCCAACACUUCCUAUCCCUCAUCUCUGCUUACUUCUUUUCUCUAAGCCCUUAUUCCUCUCUAACAUCCUUCUAGGUAUUUACUUACUUAUAUUCAUUACACUUGUCUAAUGUGGAGUUUCGUUACCUGCUCCAUCCCCAACACCUACUAAGUUGCUACAAGCAUUUGGAAGGAACCCAAAGAUUUGCAGAAUGACUACUUUAAUGACUCAGUGAAUAGUUGAUAGAUACACCAUGUGGAUCAGGGCCUCAUUAUUUAUCACCUGAACCAUUCAUUCAACAUAUGAUUGUUGAAGGGUCUACUCUGUGCCAGCCAAGGGUCCUAGAUGUGAAAUAUACAGCAGUGAACAAAGACCUUGAUCUCACAAAGAUGAUAUUAUAAUGGGCUACGAGGGCAUAGCAAACCCCCAAUAUAUAGCGAGAGACACUUUUAAGAACAAUAGGGCAGGGUAAAGAAAUAAAGAGAUGAAAGGAGGGGCUGUCACAGAAUAAGUUUUUGUCAUGAAAGAUUUCUCUUAUAUUUGAACAGAGACCUCAAAUAUAGGAAGAGAAAGCCAUGUAGAGAUCUGAUAUCUGAAGGCAUGUAAUUCAGCCCUGAAGAACAUAGAAAAUUUUUUUUUGUUAAAAAGCCAUAGGUCUGGUAUUUAGCAAAGACAUGGAAUCAACCUAAAUGCCCGUCGAUAGCAGUCUGGAUAAAGAAAAUGUGGUGCAUAUACACCAUGGAAUACUAGGCGGCCAUAAAAAAGAUGUCCUGGCUGGGCGCGGUGGCUCAUGCCUGUAAUCCCAGCACUUUGGGAGAGUGAGGCAGGCGGAUCACCUGAGGUUAGGAGUUCGAGAACAGCCUAACCAACAUGGAGAAACCCUGUCUCUACUUAAAAAAAAAAAUACAAAAUUAGCCAGGCAUGAUGGCGAAUGCCUGUAAUCCCAGCUACUCAGGAGGAUGAGGCAGGAGAAUUGCUUGAACCUGGGAGGUCAAGCUUGUGGUGAGCCAAGAUCGCACCAUUGCACUCCAGUCUGGGCAACAAGAGCGAAACUCUGUCUCAAAAAAAAAAAAAAAAAAAAGAUGUCCUUUGCAGGAAGAUGGAUGGAGCUGGAGGACAUUAUUCUUAGUAAACUAAUACAGGAACAGAAAACCAAAUACCGCAUGUUCUAACUCAUCAGUGGGAGCUAAAUGAUGAGAAUACAUGGACACACAGAGGGGAACAACAGACACUGGGGUCUCCAUCAGAGGGUGGAGGGUGGGAGGAGGGAGAGGACCAGAAAAAAUAACUCAUGGGUACUAGGCUUAAUACCUGGGUGACAAAAUAAUCUGUACAACAAACCCCCAUGACACAAGUUUACCUGUAUAACAAACCUGCACGUGUACUUCUGCAGUUACAGAAGAUCAAGGAUGGGACUAAGAACCUAUUUCUACCAAUAUCCCAGGUGAUGCUAAUGCUGCUGGUCCCUAAAUUACAAUUUGAUAGCAUCAGUUAAAACAGCUCUCUAGAUAUUUUCAGACAGACUAACACUUGAGGUUUUCACCUCCAAUUUUUCUACUAACCCCAAUAUACUAUCCUAUUGCCUAAGGGCAAAAAGAACUAAAGAAGGUAAAAACAAACUGCAAGCUUCUCUUUCUCUCUGAUACUAACAAACAGGAAUGAAGGUUUGUUAGGAUCAGGAGUGCCAAGAUCAACUCUAUGCUCCUAACAUUAACCACGAAAAAACCCAGGCCACUCAUAAAAUACUCCCUAUAAUGACAGCAACUGACAUUUAGAGCAACUGACUGGCUGCCUACCAAGGCACUGUUUACAUAAAUUCUUCACAUGUAGUAUCUCAUUUGAUUUUCAUAACGAUGAUAGAGAUUGAGAAAAUAAUUAUGCCCAUUUUACAGACAAGGAAAUAGAGGCACACAGAAGUAACUUGUUCAUGUUUAACAAGUGGUCAACAGAAAAGUCAGGAUUUUCACCCAGUGCCUUAUCUACUAGAACACUGGCUGCGCCAGGCAAUGAACCCAGGCAAUCUGACACCUGUGCCCAUGUUCUUAACCGCUCGACAGUGGUUCUCAAACCCUGGUAUGCAUCCAUAUCAAAAGGCCUGAGGUUCCAUGUGCUGCCUUGAUACCUUUGAGACUCACAGGGCCCUGAAGGCCUAGCCAUGAGCUCCCGGCUCUCUCCAGAUAUGCCCUCUCAGUGGGAAAGGAUCCCUGCCCGCCUAGUUCCUCGUGUGUUAACCAUGUUUUAUGUACUGGCUAUUUGAUAUCUGCUAUUCCUAAUCUCUCCCUAAGUCUGCUGAAUCACAGGGCCAGACUAACAACCAAAAUUAUGUGCAUCUUCCCUGCAAGCAGCUUUCACCGGUGGGAGAAAGACAUAUUACAAAAGCAUAGGCCCCAGUUCCUUUCUCUGUCUGCUUCCUGACCCUUGCCUGUAGUGGGCUUCAUGUGGUCUGGUGUGGUGUGAUGUACCAGUGGAACUCUAAGUAUUAAAAUACUAUUCAUUGGCAUUAAUCUCUCCAUGUUGUCACUCAGCCGCUUUUAUAAAAUUAAGACUUAGGCACAAUUCAUCCUAUUUAGCCAGACCACCUGUACCCCACCAGGUCCUCCACAUAACAGGUUUUGCCUCCCUGCCAGCCUGUAGAAUUAUCCAAAUGGUCAAUUAAAUCUUCUUGCAGGAACCAAGGGUCACCCUGCUACCCUCCUGUCACUACAAAAUCAACCUACCAUGGCCCCUGUUGGUUCAAUCUAUUCUCAAGUGCAAGUCCCCUGGGCUGUGAAUAUGUGACUAAUAAACUGCUACCAACCUCUUCUGCAUAGGCUGACUGUAGGGUUUGUGUGUUCAGCCACCUCCUGCCAGUUCAAGUGAUGUCUUAGUCCAUUUUUGCUGCUAUAACAAAAUACCACAGUUAUAAAGAACAGAAAUUUCUCACAGUUCUGAAGGAUGGGAAGUCUAAGAUCAAGGCUCCAGCAGGUUGUGGGUCUGGUAAGGGCCUUUUUGCUGUGUUCUCACGUGGCAGAAGGGUAGGGGAAAAGGGGGAUGGAGGAAUGCUGUGUCUUCAUAGUCUUCAUAUGGCAGAAGAACAAGGGAGGUGAACUCUCUCUCUGAAGCCUCUUUUAUAAGAGCAUUAACUCCUUCAUGCCCUCAUGACUUAAUCACUUCCCAAAGGCCUCACCUCUUAAUAACACCACAAUGGGGAUUAAGUUUCAAUGUUUGGGGGACACUCAGACAGCAGCAGGUGGGGGAAUCCCUCCUUCACCAAUGGGGUGAAUAGGUGACCAGAACCCCCGAAUUACUAAUAAAGAACACAGAAGUUCAAGCUCAUAGAAGUAGUGUAGGGCCUGGGUCUUAUGAUUCUGAUGUGACCACAGUUCAAGAACCACUGCAUUAUUCUACACUGCCUCUUAAAGAGUUGACGGAACUGUCCAAGGGCACCCAGGAAACCAGGGGCAUGGCUCUGCCUGGCACUCAGGCCUACUGAUUAUCAGCUCCCUGCUCCUCUCCAGUAUAAGAUGCCCCUAGAGCUCUCUAUAAGAGGAAAGGGCUGCAGAAUGACUGGUAAUGCCUCUGGAGGCAAAUUCUCAGAAUGAAAGGGGAGGCUUCCCUUAGAUCAGUGCUGUCCAACAGAAAUAUAAUGCAGGCAAGCUAUUCGUGUAAUUUAAAUUUUUCUCAUAGCUACACUGAAAAAGGUAAGAUGAAGCAAGUGAACUUAAUUUCAACAAUAUAUUUUCUUUAACCCAACAUAUCCAAAGUAUUAUCCCCUCAACUUGUAAUCAGUAUAAGAAUUAUUGAGGGAUUUUACUUUCUUUUUUUCAUACUAGAUCUUUGAAAUCUGUUGUGCCUUACCAUUAUAACAUAUCUCAAUUCAGACUAGUUACGUUUCAGGUGCUCAAUAAUCACAUGCGGCUAAUGGCUACACUAUUGGAUAGUGCAGGUUUAGACCUUUUUAUUAAGGCAAUAUAGACUAUAUAAUCAUCUCACAGGGACUUGCUAAGUUCAAAAGACAGCAAAUUAGUUGUAGGUUUCAACAAUCACUAUCAUAGAAACUAUGCACAUUUGUUUAAAUAUGUAACAGAAUUAAAGUAUCCAUAGAAAAAGUGGAAAGUGGGGAAGAAAAGAAUACUUAAAAAUAUACCUUUGAGGCUGGGCACGGUGGCUCACGCAUGUAAUCCCAGCACUUUGGGAGGCCCAGGCGGGUGGAUCACGAGGUCAGGAAUUCAAGACCAGCCUAGCCAAGAUGGUGAAACCCCGUCUCUAUUAAAAAUACAAAAAAAUUAGCUGGG